rnacentral:tRNA from 1 species
AGAGCAGGGGACUCUUAAUCCCAAGGUCAUAGGUUCGAACCCUAUACGGCCCACCA